CAUUAUUAUUCCUUUUAUUUUCAUAUAAAUUAACAUUCUAAAAAAAUUGAAAUAGAAACACUAAAUACAGUAUUGCACGUAGUGAUCUUUGUUAGAUGAUCUAUUAUUUCAUUUAGUAUAGUAAUAUACAUACUGUAGGUACCGAAGGAAACGGGAAGGCUACAAAUGAAAACAUGCUACUGUAUUCUUGCACUUAGGAGCAAAGUUAAGAGGAGAAGACUAUUGUUUACAUAAAUACAAACAUGGAUUUGAAUCAGUGCCAUUAAAAUAGCUUUAUUUUUUAAAGUUUUUUCCAUAAGUUACUUUUAACAGCAAAUAAUCUCUUCACUUCCCAUCAACACAAAAUUUUAGAACUCCAUUCUUGGUAAUUUAUAUCCCUGCUAGAAAUUAUUAGAAGUACAGAUUUUCACAUAGUUUUGUCAGCAACAGGAGACUUGCUUUUCACAUAGUGAAAAACCCCAUCUUUUCUAGUGCUUGGUAUAUGUGAAGAGUAACAGAUUCCUGAGGUCAUAUUUCACACUUCCUUUUGCGACACCCUGUAGGGUAUAUUAGCCUCUGGACAGCUAUGAAUGACUCUUGAUGUGCUAGAUUAAACAGGGAAUAAUGCAACCCAGCUGAUUAGAGCUCAUUUCCCUUACCCUGGUGUCUUUCAGGCUCCAAGGUUGUGAGCAUGUGUCCAAUUCAGGUGCAUGCACACACCUCCCUCCUCUUUCAGGAAAAGUGUGCUUUGAAAGAAAAAUAUUGUCAAUUGGGCUGAUUGGUUUGGGGCUCUUAAAUUAGGACUGGAGGAAGGGAUUGUUACCAGUUGAGCAUAUCAAAAGUGAUCUAGUAAAUUCAGGAUUGCAAGUAGGAAUUAAGCAUGUGGUCUAAAAUGGAAGCCCUAAGUCAUAGAUUUCAAUCAUUAACCUCCUAGUCAGGGACACUGAAAGCCUGGAGGAAAAGUCUGCAAUUCUGUUAAAUAUGAAAUUGAUGUCAGUUGGUUGGUAGUCUAUGUUCUGUCACUAGAAUCAGCUACUUUUCCAUAAAUGUCAGUCCCCAUGUGCAUCUUUUAAUGGCUCUCUAAAGGAGUUUUAAAUUACUGUAAAGCUAAUUUCAAAAGGGAAGUCAUGUACAUGUGGCCAAAAGCCUGUCUGUCUUAAGUGAUCAGCAGUUAAAACUAUACUAUACCUUCUAAUGUUCAUGUAAAAGUAUUAGCUGCUUUAUAUAUUAACAAGCUAUAAUAGUCAAAUCUCUCUCAUACUCUUUAUCAUACUUCUGUGCUUUUCUGUAUUUUCCUGCUUUUCACUUACUCUUUUUUUUUUUUUUUUUUUUUUCCCCUAAAUGCUGGAUUUCUGACCCCCAUACCGCCUGACAUUCACUAUCUGGCAAAAGAUGAAAUAAAAGUAUGCUGUCUUAUCGAUUUUAAAGAUAGUUACAGUAAACAUCUUGUUCCACAAAUAUUUAGUCAUGGAGGGCAACCAAACAAGUUGGGAAAGCAUUGAUUAUACUGUAUAAACAGCACUUAACGAUUCAAAAUACAAACUACAAAUGCCAACAUGAAACGGAUACAAACAAUUCACUAGGAGUAACAUUUCUUUCCCUAAUCUAAGUGCAGUGCCAUGAAGUAUUUGUGUUAGACAGAUGUUGCCAGCAGGAAUGGAAAUGUUUUACUGUAUCGAGUAGCAUUCUUAUGAAGUUCAACUUAAUGCUUCAGCAUGUUCAGAAUUGAUGUAGAUGCCAGUUUUUAUGCAUGCUGGCUUGGGCUUUUUGUAAUAUACCAUACACUUUACAAAAUAUCAUUUUUGACUGGCAAAGGAGAUACAGAGUACAGGGAAGGUGUUUCAAGUCCAUACCUAGUCUAUUGCUGGGCACUCCAUUAAAGUGAUUACAUUCGUGAAUGAAUGUACAAUAACACACCAAUUGGUGGAAAAAUCUAGAGAACAAAAAGCAAAUUUAAAAAGGUCAAGAAAGCAAAUGAUCGGGAUGAUGUAGUUUCCUUCCCCCUCACUCCCCACCCAGAGGCAUGUUGAGUUUUGGUAACCAGGUAACAAUGGCUUUUGCUUUUCUUCUCUCAGAUUUU
rnacentral:lncRNA from 1 species